rnacentral:rRNA from 1 species
UACGGAGGAUCCAAGCGUUAUCCGGAUUUAUUGGGUUUAAAGGGUGCGUAGGCGGUUUAUUAAGUCAGUGGUGAAAGCCCGGAGCUCAACUUCGGAACUGCCAUUGAUACUGAUAGACUUGAGUACAGAUGAAGUGGGCGGAAUGUGACAAGUAGCGGUGAAAUGCUUAGAUAUGUCACAGAACACCGAUUGCGAAGGCAGCUCACUAAAGUGUAACUGACGCUGAGGCACGAAAGCGUGGGGAGCGAACAGG